UACGUAGGGUGCGAGCGUUAUUCGGAAUUACUGGGCGUAAAGCGUGCGCAGGCGGCCGCGCAAGUCGAGUGUGAAAGCCCCGAGCUUAACUUGGGAAUUGCGCUCGAAACUACGUGGCUGGAGUGUGGCAGAGGAAGGUGGAAUUCCACGUGUAGCGGUGAAAUGCGUAGAGAUGUGGAGGAACACCGAUGGCGAAGGCAGCCUUCUGGGCCAACACUGACGCUCAUGCGCGAAAGCGUGGGGAGCAAACAGG
rnacentral:rRNA from 1 species